rnacentral:lncRNA from 1 species
ACAGAAUUUGUCUGCGUGUCUGGUUAAAUUGUCAUUUCUGAUCUACUUUUUGUCUAGGUUUUGAAUUUGAAUGGGAACAGCCUGAGCAUGCUGCAGGACGUCUCUAGACUUGAAACACUUCAAAAGCUUAUCAUCAACUUUAAUGAAUUUACUUCCUUAAAUAACAUUUAUGACCUGGUGUCUCUGUUAGAAUAUACUAGGACUGAUGAAGAAAAAACUCCCAUUCUCAGUGUAUUUCCUUGCACUAAAAUUCUGUCUCAAAUUUGCAAGAUCAAGGAAUCAACAGAAGGAGAGAGUGCAAAAGGCAGCUUCACCUCAGACAUGAUUGCAGAUAGACUGGGACAUUCAGACCACAGAAAUGCAAGAAUUAAAUUGGACAGCUUCUAAUAUCAGGUGUGGUGAUUUUCAGAAUUGUAUUAUCUAUUAAAAGUAGCAUCUAAUACUGUGGAUACAACACCAAAAUCUAAAGCUA